UUCUCUGUUUACAUGUUUGGUAGACUUUAGAGACCAACAAAUUGGUAGACUCAUUGGAAAGCAAUUUUCUGACAGAUGACGUUAUUACGUAAAACUAUCACACGCAAACCGACUUUAUAGAUAACCACUUUGGAGUACCUACUACCUACCAACCAUGGUUAUGGAAAACAGAAAACUAAAAACAAAUAUUAUAAUUUCUUCAGACUUUUUUAAUAGUUCUUAAAAAGUCUACAAACUACUUAGCACUUAAAAGUUUAAAUAUUUCUUAAAAUAUGACUCAACAUUUUUCUCUAUCCAUAGCAGCAUCAUAUAAUACAUCAGUAAGGCUACAACUGGCAAUUUGCAACCAAACACACAACAAAUGGAUGGUGGAGACAAUGAGUUCAUUGGAGCACUCUCCAUAAGCAUAUGAUACGGACACAAACUUGGCUGCUUUACGAAUGUCGUAAAAUUUGGAUAAGUAUAUUUGUAUUAAGCCUUACAAUGGAUAUUGAUUCAUUAGAUACUCGACAAAACGUCAUGUGUUUGCCGGAUAUCAUACUUUGUUCUACACGCUUUGUAAAUAGUGGU